rnacentral:lncRNA from 1 species
GCCCCCCCCCCCCCCCAGCCCCGCAGCGUAGUUUUCCUCUCCUUUCCUUUGUAAUCUCCCGUCACUGGACGUCCUUGGGACCUUCAGACGGGGUGUGGACCUGCUGUGCCUGGGCACCUUGGAGGCAAAACAGGCUGUUUGUGGGCAAACCUAACUCAUUUUUCAUUUACUCUGGAUUCCCCUCUUGGUAUGGGUCCCUUUUGACACAGACCUAGGUUUCUAGCAUUCAUCCCCCCACCCUUCCUUCACAGGUUCUCUCUCUCUCUCUCUCUCUCUCUCUCUCUCUCUCUCUCUCUCUCUCUCUCUCUCUCUUUUUCCCUUACACAUUCUCUGUUUUUUCCAUAUUGUACUUCAAUCACUAUUUUUUCCUUUUUCUUUUUUUUUGUGAUAUAGCUGCUCUUUUUUCCAUGACUUUUUUUUUAAUAUUGGGGUUCAUUUUGACGUAUUCAUACAAGCAUAGAAUAUAAUUUACUCCAAUUCAGUCCCUAGUACUUACCCCUUUUAUCCCUCCUCCCUCUCCAGUUCCCUUUUCUCUACUGGGUUUUCCUUCUAUUUAUUUGUAGUUUUUUUUAAAAAUUAGUAUUUAUAGAUAAACAAAGGUUAAAUUUACUUUGAUAUAUUCAUAUAUGUACAUAGGAUAGUUUGGUCAGUUUUUAUCCCACCAUUUUUCUCUUUUCCUAUCCCUCCUCUCUCCUGCAGUCUUUCCACUUCCUGUACUCCUCUGAUUCAUUACCUUUUUUAGGGGAGGGGGUACUGGGAAUUUAACGCAGGGGCAUUCCAAGAUUGAGCCACAUCCCCAGCCCUACUUUGUAUUUUACUUAGAGACAGGGUCUCACUGAGUUGCUUAGUGCCUCACUUUUGCUGAGGCUGGCUUUGAACUCAGGAUCCUCUUGCCUCAGCCUCCCUAGCCAGUAGGAUUAUAGGCAUAUACCUGGCCUGAUCCAUUACCUUUUUAAAAAUUUUUAAUUUAUUUUUUAGUUGUUGAUAGACCUUUUUUUUAAAAAAAAUUUAUUUAUAUGUGGUGCUGAGAAUCAAAUCCAGUGCCUCACACAUGCUAGGCAAGUGAGCUAUCACUGAUCCACAGCCCCUGCCCCUGAUCCAUUAACUUUUAAGAAGCAAAUUCCUUGGAGCUGAAAGUGAGGGAAGAAGUGUUUUAGUUAACUUUUUCACUGCUAUGACUAAAAGACCCGAUGAGAACAAUUUUAAGGAGGAAAACUUUAUUUUGAGGCUCAUGGUUUCAGAUGUCUCAGUCCAUAGACAGCUAGCUCCAUUCCUCUGGGUUCCAGAUGAGGCUCAACAUCAUGGUGGAAGAGUGUGGUCAGAGAGACAGAGAGACAGACAGACACAAACUGACUAAAAUCGCCAGAUACAAAAUAUAUAUACUCAAAAGGCACAGCCCCAAUGAACCACCUCCUCCAGCCACACUCUACCUGACUUCAGAUAUCAUUCAAUCCCUAUCAGAGGAUGAAUUCACUGACUGGGUUAAGGCUCUUGUAACCUAAUAAUUUCAUCUCUAAACCUUCUUCCACUGUCUCACACAUGAGAUUUUCGGGAGCACCUCACAUGCAAACCAUGAAAAGAGUCCAGCCAAAGGCUUCUCGUAUAGUACAGAACAGUGGAGCACAGGUGGGGAGAGUUUGUACCAAGAGGAGAAAGGGGUCUCAUUCUGUGAGCUCAGAGACAGUGUAAGAUACUUAUACAAAGUGAAUAAAAAGUACAGCCAGCAUGAAAGCUGAAUAUCAAGGUAAAUAAUUGCAUAAGUUUUUAAAAUCUAAACAACAGCCUUGAAUAAUAAGAGGUUUGGGAAGAUCCUGUGGCUAGGAAUAGUUUGCUGUGACCACGAGGAACCAUGAACCUCAUGGUAUGAAUAAAAAGUAAGAACAUCUAAGUAUCAUUGAACACAUAAAAUAUGCUAAGCAUUUUAUUUUAUUUUUUAUUUGUGCAGGUUUUUCUUUUUAUUUGUUCUUUUUACUUAUAUAAAUUAGAAUUAAUUUUGACAUUAUGAUAUUUCUGUUCUUUGUCCCAUUUCCCUCAAACACAGUGUAGCACAACUUACAUUUUUUAUUAUAUCCUGCACUUUAUUUCGGGAAGAUAGUUAAUCUUUUUACUGUGUUGAGAAUUAUUUUACUUGGCUGAUUUAUCAAUAUUUACUGUAUGUCUUUGCCUUCUUAUGAUAGAAAUGAGUGUUUUACCAAUAAAUUGAAACAUAUUUCUUUUUCUCAUAGACUGUUGUUUUUUUCUUUUUAGUUAUUGUUUUUUUGUGGUGUGUCUUUGGGGAUUAUUGGUUUAUACCUAUAUAGGCUUUUUGGAAGACUGAAUAAACUC